UGAGGAAUAUUGGUCAAUGGGCGAGAGCCUGAACCAGCCAAGUAGCGUGCAGGAUGACGGCCCUAUGGGUUGUAAACUGCUUUUAUGUGGGGAUAAAGUGCGUGACGUGUCAUGCAUUGCAGGUACCACAUGAAUAAGGACCGGCUAAUUCCGUGCCAGCAGCCGCGGUAAUACGGAAGGUCCGGGCGUUAUCCUGAUUUAUUGGGUUUAAAGGGAGCGUAGGCUGUCUAUUAAGCGUGUUGUGAAAUUUACCGGCUCAACCGGUGGCUUGCAGCGCGAACUGGUCGACUUGAGUAUGCAGGAAGUAGGCGGAAUUCAUGGUGUAGCGGUGAAAUGCUUAGAUAUCAUGACGAACUCCGAUUGCGCAGGCAGCUUACUGUAGCAUAACUGACGCUGAUGCUCGAAAGUGCGGGUAUCAAACAGG
rnacentral:rRNA from 1 species